CUACUGGCGUCGAGAGGCGCCGGGAUGGUCGUGCAGAAGUCAGCAGAGGGCAUAGUGUGUGGAGGACUUUCACCUCCCAGUGACUGCGCC
rnacentral:autocatalytically_spliced_intron from 1 species